UACGUAGGCAGCAAGCGUUGUUCGGAGUUACUGGGCGUAAAGGGUGCGUAGGCGGCUUUUUAAGUUUGGUGUGAAAUCUCCCGGCUCAACUGGGAGGGUGCGCCGAAUACUGAGAGGCUAGAGUGUGGGGAGAGGAAAGUGGAAUUCCUGGUGUAGCGGUGAAAUGCGUAGAUAUCAGGAGGAACACCGGUGGUGUAAACGGCUUUCUGGACCAUAACUGACGCUGAGGCACGAAAGCGUGGGUAGCAAACAGG
rnacentral:rRNA from 1 species